rfam:Pseudoalteromonas sp. OCN003 chromosome 1, complete sequence.
GGCCCUAUAGCUCAGUUGGUUAGAGCACCCGACUCAUAAUCGGUAGGUCCCCUGUUCUUAUGUGGGGAUUAGUUUAGGGUUG